GUUCAGGGGUAAACCUGCGAAACUCGAAUGAACGAACGGAGAGAUUCAUCGUCAUUCCGCGGCGUGCGGACGCGCGCCUCGAUGUCUUCGGUUUCGACCGAACGGCACGGGUCGCGUUCGUCCACGUACGCGGACGGCGUGCACUUCUCUCUUAGUAAUACAUCGCGACCCGUUCUAUGUCGAUCUAAGCGCCUUUCGGGAGCCCUGCUGUUCAAUUUAUUGAACGGUAGGACCGUGAAGGACGCCGAUCGGCCGUAGGACGGUAUGAAAAUUGAAACGCGCACGCGUUUAACGCGCGUCCGGCCCGACGCAAGGUAACGUCGUAUCCGAAUUCCUGCCGUUGUGCGGAGGUCGGUGCGGCGCACCUGUCGUCGCUGCCGUGCAGUCUCGGACCGUGCGCGUCUCAGUCUGCGAUGAUUCCGUUUCGGGCACUCGCAGGACCCGUCUUGAAACACGGACCAAGGAGUCUAGCAUGUGUGCGAGUCAUUGAGAUUUUUAAAACUGAAAGGCGCAACGAAAGUGAAGGCGCGCGCUAGCCGCGCGCUCAGGGAGGAUGGAGCGUCGGUCUAGGUCGACCUCUCGCACUCCCGAGGCGUCUCGUUUCCAAUCCGUGAAUGCAGGCGCGCUCUGAGCACAGAUGCUGGGACCCGAAAGAUG
rnacentral:rRNA from 1 species